rnacentral:rRNA from 1 species
UACGAGUGCCUCAAGCGUUAUCCGGAAUCAUUGGGCGCAAAGGUUGUGUAGGUGGUUAUAUUAGUCUUCUGUUAAAUUCUUCGGCUUAACCGGGGGCAUGCAGGGGAAACGGUAUAACUCGAGGAUGCGAGGGGUCUGCGGAACUCAUAGUGUAGCGGUGAAAUGCGUUGAUAUUAUGGGGAACACCAAAAGCGAAGGCAGCAGACUGGAGCACUCCUGACACUGAAACAAGAAAGCGUGGGUCGCGAAUGGGAUUAGAAACCCUG